UUUUUAUGAAGCCAACCGGCUGUUUUGUCAACUGUUUCUCGUGGUGGCUGCUUAGCUCGAACCACUGCUUCCUGUUGGGGCCCUAAGGAGCACAGGCAGGCAGGUGAGGAGUGGCUGGGAAGGGAGGGGCGAGUAGAGGCCGGCGAGGCACCCCUCAAUGUGAGUGACAUCAAG